CGAGUCUUCUAUGCUUGUCCUUCGGGGUUACAUACGAGUUCUUAGUAACUGAUUUAAUAGCAGUUUUUACACAUUAAUUGUGUUUGGCUGUUGUUUAUUUACCCUGGGAAAAGUCCCCGGGCCUAGGAUAGAAAGUAUCAAGGCGUAAGAAAAGAAAGUAAUUUGUGUGUGGUGUUCGCUGCAUUUUAUUUGUUCGCCUAUAUUCCAUGGAAAUUCUCUUAGCAUAUAUCAAUUAAGAGUCCUCCUGCCCUCUAACCAGGGCAAGAAGACGAAUUGAUGCUUAGUGUUCAUGGAAACGUGCCAGAGCCAUUAGUAAUGGACAUAGAAAUGCAAACCGGUUUUCUUGUAGAAAAUCGGUAAGUAUUUACAAAAUGGGGCUUACAAUAGGGAGGUUC
rnacentral:RNase_MRP_RNA from 1 species